rnacentral:pre_miRNA from 1 species
AUCACCUAGGAACCUUGUUAUAAUGCAGAUUCUGAUUCAGAAGGUCUGGGAUGGAGCUUGAGAGUCUGCAUUUCUAACAAGCUCUCAUAUGAUACUGU